CACCCACUGGAAACGGUGGCUAAUACCGGGUAUGCCAGAGGUGAAAGGUUAACUGCCUGGAGAUGAGCUCGCGUCUGAUUAGCUGUUUGUGGUGUAAGGGACUACCAAGGCGACCAUUACUAGCUGGUCUGAAAGGAUGAUCAGCCACACUGGAACUGAAACACGGUCCAAACUCCUACCGGAGGCAGCAGUGGGGAAUUUUCCGCAAUGGGCGAAAGCCUGACUGAGCAAUACCGCGUGAGGGAGGAAGGCUCUUGGGUUGUAAACCUCUUUUCUCACGGAAUAAGCAAGUGAAGGUACCUGAAGAAUCACCAUCGGCAAACUCCGUGCCAGCCCCCGCGGUAAUACAGAGGAUGCAAGCGUUAUCCAGAAUGAUUGGGCGUAAAGCGUCCGUACGUGGCUGUGUGUGUCUGUUGUUAAAGAGUUUGGCUCACCCAAAUAAGGGCGGUAGAAACUACACAGCUAGAGUGCGUUCGGGGCAUAGGGAAUUCCUGGUGUAGCGGUGAAAUGCGUAUAGAUCAAGAAGAACACCGGUCGCGAACGCGCUCUGCUAGGCCGCAUCUGACACUGAGGGACGAACGCUAGGGGAGCGAAUGGGAUUAUAUACCCGCAGUACUCCUACCCAUACACGAUGGACACUAGGCCUUGAGAGUAUCGACUCUCUCAGUGCCCUAACUGACGCGUUAUGUAUCCCCGCCGGGGGAGUACGCACGCAUGUGUGAAACUCAGAGGAAUUGACGGGGGCCCGCACCAGCGGUGGAGUAUGUGGUUUAAUUCGAUGCAACGCGAAGAACCUUACCAGGGCUUGACAUGUCUGGAACUCUGGGGAAACUCGGAGGUGCCUUCGGGAGCCAGAACACAGGUGGUGCAUGGGGUCGUCAGCUCGUGUCGUGAGAUGUUGGGUUAAGUCCCGCAACGAGCGCAACCCUCGUACUUAGUUGCCAGCAUUUUGGAUGGGCACUCUAAGGAGACUGCCGGUGACAAACCGGAGGAAGGUGGGGAUGACGUCAAGUCAGCAUGCCCCUUACGUCCUGGGCUACACACGUACUACAAUGCUACGGACAAAGGGCAGCGAGACUGCGAAGUCAAGCAAAUCUCAGAAACCGUGGCUCAGUCAGAUCGCAGGCUGCAGUGGAGUG
rnacentral:rRNA from 1 species